CUCUUCUCCCUUCUCUGCAGGACAUCGAGUUCUUUGGGGGUCACGAGGAUCCCUCAGACGCCGAGGCUGCCCUGACCCGCCUCGAGGGUGUUUGAGGCUCUACAGGGACACAGAAUGUCUUGACAGUCUCCCAGUUGCCAGUCCCUGCAUCUUAGCCCAGGAGAGGAUGCCGUGGGUCGAGGGAGUCUCCUUUAAGCACCCUAGCUGCCCCGUUACCUGCUUUGUUUUUCUUUGUGGUACUUAUUGCAACCUGAAAUCAAUUAUUUGAGUACCUGUUUCAUGCUUGCCCCUUGACUUGAAUGGGAUGAGAGCAGUGAUGAGUUGGUUAACUGCCAGCUAUGCCCCAGCACUUAGCUAGGUCUGAUACCUCAUGAGUGAAUGAAUGAGGCCAAAUUUUCAGGCCCAUACCACAGAC
rnacentral:lncRNA from 1 species